GACGAACCACACGAACGUUAUUCGGAAUUACUGGGCUUAAAGGGUGCGUAGGCUGUGCGGAAAGUUAAGGUGUGAAAUCCCCCCGGCUCAACCGGGGAAUAGCGCUUAAAACUCCGUGCUGGAGGAAGACAGAGGUGAGCGGAACUUCGGGUGGAGCGGUGAAAUGCGUUGAUAUCCGAAGGAACACCGGUGGCGAAAGCGGCUCACUGGGUCUUUUUCUGACGCGUGAUGCACCGGAAAGCUAGGGGAGC
rnacentral:rRNA from 1 species